rnacentral:lncRNA from 1 species
UAUGUUGAGGUGUCUUUUUAUUAUGCAUGGUUGCAUGUUGUGGCGGGCCUUUCUCCAUGCAUGUUGAAUGAUGAGUUGGCAUAUUUGCAUGUUGAGAGAAAUAGGUUAUUGGGGGCUAGCUAUUUAGAUAUAGAAGAUCCNNNNNNNNNNNNNNNNNNNNNNNNNNNNNNNNNNNNNNNNNNNNNNNNNNNNNNNNNNNNNNNNNNNNNNNNNNNNNNNNNNNNNNNNNNNNNNNNNNNNAAAAAAAAAGUCUUUGGACAAAGAUUUGCGUGACAAACUUGACUUGCAACAUGCAUUAGAAAACAAAAUCAAAUAAAAUAAUACAUCCAAAGAAUUCUUGGUAUAAACGCAAAAUGAAGAUCAUUUAGAACGCUAUUCAAUCAAAACUUCCAGCUAGCUCUGCCGUUCACAUUGGCAUGCAUGCCCAGUAGUGACUAGUGAGUACACAGCAGCAGCAGCAGCAGUUGUAGAUACAACGAAUUUAAGGGAUGAUGUAUUAGAUGCAUGGGCCAUCCUACAAUUUCCUUUAUUUAUGCUAUAAAAUAGUCAAGAGUCAACAUAACACAUACCACGCACAAAUUAUGAUCUAGAGCGCAUGGUUGGCCCUCCUUUUUCGGGUCAUGGGACCACCCAUGCGAUUCUAAGUUUACCUUAAUAUCGCACAAGUGGAGCUCCUGAUCCACCCUCCAAAAAUAGAGAACAAUAAAAAAAUAUUUUUCAAUGGUUCUCUAUUUUAUUUAUUUUCAGUUUACCAAAUAUAUGAGGAACACAAGGCAACAGAUAGAGAUUUCAACAAAAAAAAAUCUAAUUAUGUAAAGCUAAUAACCAGCUUUUCUUUUAUAAUUUUGAGUUUUAUCAAAUAAACCCCUCUGCUAAGCCAAUUAACAUUUUCUUUUACUUUGGAGGAAUUCAGCCUCAGAAUUAAUUGGUCUUCCAACUGGCAUAAAUGUAGUGGAAUGCUUUAAGAGUACAACAAGUCUGCCAAUAAGGCAGCAUAUAAUUUAACGAUGGUUAUGUAAAUAGGCAAGACAUAUGUAUUUGGCCACAGAUGGAAAAUAGGUCUCCACAUUGAAAUGCUUAGCGGAGGAAAGGCCCAUGCCCAUCAGUUCAGUAUACGGAAAUUAUAAAGUAGGUGCAGCGUUGUAGGAUGGAAAAACGCCUCCCGGGUCGCUCCUAGGGUGACUCCGGAGGCCACCCCUGCCGCUGGCCCUAGGGUACCUUAAAUCGCUGCCCUUCCCGCGCCUCCGCCGGAGGAGGCCGUCGGAGCUGACGGCGGCGGCGGGGCUCUUCCUGUCCGACUUUCUCCUUCCCUCCCCGCGGUUGGCUGGCCUCCUCCUGCCGCCAGAAUGGGACGCUUGCGCCUGGAUCUCGUGCCCUGUGGGUGCUGCAGUGUCAAGGCAUGACCAUCCAUGUGUGCCACCGGUUUGUGUCCUCUGAUGAUCCGUACUGGUGGUGGUGUGGUGCGGCGCCUGGAACUGUCUCGACCAAGAUCUGAAGGUGUGCGUCGCCGACGGGCUGGAUCCGGCGGGAUCUAGCAUGUGGUAGCUUGCAGGCGGCUGGUGCUGGCGUGGAUCGGCAUGAUCUGGCGCUUGGGAGCGGUGCUCUGAAGGUGCAUGAGGCGGCGGAUGGCUAAGUCUCACUUCUGCUUCACCAGGCGGCUUUCAGGAGACGUGCCUCCUUUGUGGGCGUUUGGGCAGCAAAUGGUCAACUUGUGAGUACAACAACACUACAAGAAAUAUGCCAACUUGUGACCUUCUCUUAGUGACUCCAGCUGAAUUGGUCAUAAAUCCACAGUCAUUUCGUUUGGAAGGGCUCAAACCCUGAAAUUGCCUUACACCAAAUGGUCAUAAAGCAGACAAGAGUGGUCGACGACCUUAUUUCUACCUGAUUGGGACCAAUAUAAAUGGUCAUGAGGUUGUGAACGUGGAUGCAUUUGUACUUAAUGUGUCGCUCAAGGUGGGUUUGGGCCUCGGUGGAAUGAGGCCACCUCCUUUUUAAAAAAAAUCCGUGUGCCAUGUAUGCCUCGGCCCAUCCAGGAAGAAAUGUGGGAUGCCCUCAUAUUACUAAAAAAACGUAUAUUCAGCCCAACAAAAAUGUGAAAAUAACAAGUUUUUCAUUAUUACCAUUUGGUAAGGAUGGUCAAUUAUGUGGAAAAAAAGUUUUCAUUAUUGUCUAAAAAUCAGGUUUUUCCUUAUAGAAAAAAAUCUCGAAACCAAUUAAACAAUAUAAAAUUAUAAGAAUAGGAAAAUAAUAAACUACUUCGUGAAUCUUACUAUACGGCUUAGCAAUUAGAAAACUAAAUGUGUAAUUCAAAAAAAAAUUAAUGUUAUGCCUAUUUCAAAAAAUGUAACCAUGUGUUUAAAAAACUAAAUGUGUGUAUUAGAAAAGUUCCAUGCAUAUAAAAAUGAUAAUCAUAAAUAAGAUUAGAUAUGUAUAAAAAAUAGUCAUAGGUACGUAUAUAUGGAAUUUUACAAUAUAUGAAAAGUAGAUAACAAAAAAAGAUUUUUUCAAAAUGUGAAUCANNNNNNNNNNNNNNNNNNNNNNNNNNNNNNNNNNNNNNNNNNNNNNNNNNNNNNNNNNNNNNNNNNNNNNNNNNNNNNNNNNNNNNNNNNNNNNNNNNNNUAAGGUGUAAAUCGGGAUGCAAUGUUCCUUCUCCUGCAAAAGGAUUAGCUAGCAGUUUCUCUAUCAUACCCGAAGGAAUUUCAAAGUAAACAUUUUCUAUAGGUUCAGUAGUUUGAUGAGCAACUCUUUGCUCUACUGGUAGGGGUGAAGAUACCCCGAACAAGCCCCUCAAAGGAUUAGUUUCCAUAGUAACAAGUGACAAAAAAUUUCAGCACACUAUAUAAAUGUUUCCUUACCAAGUUCCGCUCACCAAAGGCGCUUCACUCCCCGGCAAACGGCGCCAGAAAAGAGUCUUGAUGACCCACAAGUAUAGGGGAUCUAUCGUAGUCCUUUCGAUAAGUAAGAGUGUCGAACCCAACAAGGAGAAGAAGGAAAUGACAAGCGGUUUUUGGUAAGGUUUUCUCUGCAAGCACUGAAAUUGUAGAUAAUAGAUAGUUUUGUGAUAAGAUAAUUUGUAACGAGUAACAAGCAAUGAAAGUAAAUAAGGUGCAUCAAGGUGGCCCAAUACUUUUUGUAGCAAAGGACAAUCCUGGACAACUUCUUAUAAUGAGAAAAGCGCUCCCGAGGACACAUGGGAAUUAUCGUCAAGCUACUUUCAUCAUGCUCAUAUCAUUCGCGUUCAGUACUUUGAUAAUUUGAUAUGUGGGUGGACCGGUGCUUGGGUACUGCCCUUACUUGGAUAAGCAUCCCACUUAUGAUUAACUCCUACUGCAAGCAUCCGCAACUACAAGAGAAGUAUUAAGGUAAACCUAACCACAACAUGAAACAUAUGGAUCCAAAUCAGCCCCUUACGAAGCAACACAUAAACUAGGGUUUAAGCUUCUAUCACUCUAGCAACCCAUAAUCUACUUAUUACUUCCCAAUUCCUUCCUCUAGGCCCAAAUAAUGGUGAAGUGUCAUGUAGUCGAUGUUCAUAUAACACCACUAGAGGAGAAACAACAUACAUCUCAUCAAAAUAUCGAACAAAUACCAAAUUCACAUGACUACUAACAGCAAGACUUCACCCAUGUCCUUAGGAACGAACAUAACUACUCAGAAAGCAUAUUCAUGUUCAUAAUCAGAGGAGUAAUAAUAUGCAUAAAGGGUAUGAACAUAUAAUCUUCCACCAAGUAAACCAAUUAACAUCAACCACAAGGAGUAUUCAACAAUACUAGCAACCCAUAGGUACCAAUUUGUGGUUUUGAUACAAGAUUGGAUACAAGAGAUGAACUAGGGUUUGGAGAGGAGAUGGUGCUGGUGAAGAUGUUGAUGGAGAUUGACCCCCUCCCGAUGAGAGGAUCGUUGGUGAUGAUGAUGGUGAUGAUUUCCCCCUCCCGGAGGAAAGUUUCCCCAGCAGAACAGCUCUGCCGGAGCCCUAGAUUGGUUCCGCCAAGAUUCCGCCUCAUGGCAACGGAAUUUCGUCUCGUGAGCUUGCCUCUCAUUUUUUCCAAGAUAAAACACCUCAUAUAGCAGAAGAUGGGCACCAGGGGCCACCAGGGGCCCAGGAGAAAGGGGAGCGCCCUGUAGGGGGAGUGCCCCCCACCCUCCUGGCCAGGGUGUGGGCCCCCUUAGGUACUUUAUUUGCCCAAUAUUUCUUAUUAAAUCCAAAAAUGACUUUCNNNNNNNNNNNNNNNNNNNNNNNNNNNNNNNNNNNNNNNNNNNNNNNNNNNNNNNNNNNNNNNNNNNNNNNNNNNNNNNNNNNNNNNNNNNNNNNNNNNNUCCGGUUAAACUUGAAUGCAAUAAGCUGAGCCAUAUUAAAAUAAAAUGAUGCAACUACAAUGCAUGGUACCAACAUGAGCAUGGAUGAGUAACAUCACUAUUAAUCAUAUUAACAACAUUAAACCAUUUAUCCAAAUGAGCAUGACAUACUGACGAGCAUGAAUAUCAUGAGUAUAACACUACACAUAAGCAUAGCAUGGCCACUAGCACCGGAAAUAAAUAUCAUGCAAGAACUUAACGGUAAUACUACCAAGUAAGCAUAUAACUAGCUAGAUGUAAAGGAACAUGUAUAUCAACGGUACUCGGUAACAGACAAAAGUCAUGCACCAAAGAACAUGACCAACACCAACAUGUACUACUACAAGCAUGUCACACGAAAGUAAUACUAGCAAGAAUACAUGAUAACCAGGUGCAUACACAUGGCAUGAAGAUGGACAUGAAACUAUAAGCAGUACCGAAACAACGAUAACAGUUGCAGAUAAACAAGAACUUAUUAAAUAUUCAAGUAAAAAACCAUGGCUACUGCAUGCUAUCAUGCAAGUGGUUGUCGUGGCUUGCUUGGGGGUGAAGAAACCAUCGGGGAGAAGUGCGUAAAGUUCACAAAAAGAAUCGCUGGAAAGGCUUCUUCCUCAGGAGGGGCUGAUUUGAGACAAGGGCACAAAGGUCAUUUCUAUUAUGUGAACACAUAGUGAAAAUGGUAUGAACAGAACGGGCCGACGAGACGACGUCGUAGGCUUUAGAAGCACCUUAUUUGGGGUUACAAGCAAAAAGUUGUGAGGGUUUGACUGUUGAUGNNNNNNNNNNNNNNNNNNNNNNNNNNNNNNNNNNNNNNNNNNNNNNNNNNNNNNNNNNNNNNNNNNNNNNNNNNNNNNNNNNNNNNNNNNNNNNNNNNNNAACAGUCAAACUUGAACAACGGUUGGCCAAGUCAUGGUGCCACCUAAUCGAUCUGACCAGUGCAACCACAUUUUCCUUUAUGGGAAGGCCUUAUUGUGGUCUAUUGUCAUGCCUCUCGCCGGUGUCUCCAACUAGGAAAGGUUAUGCACGGGCACUACCUUGGCCGGGUAGGACAGCAUAAGCCUUGUGUUCUCGAGUUGUUUGCGCGCUUUUGGCCCCGUUUGGGACCGUUUAUGUUUUGCCACGACAGUGGCCAUUGGGUGUCAUGAGGUGACACGGGGCCACCCAUGACUUAGCCCAAAGGGGAGUUUGUCGGAGUGGCUGGGAGAGUGUGAUGGCAAUAGAUCGGAUUUGUCAGAACAUAGUUGGUACACCCGAAUGGGAGCGCGAGGCCUUGGGUUCCGUGGUGUGGGUAUAGUGUCACUAGUAGAAAACAAGGCUUUGGUUCAGGCCUGGCCAGCCCAUUAGUCCUGGUUCUNNNNNNNNNNNNNNNNNNNNNNNNNNNNNNNNNNNNNNNNNNNNNNNNNNNNNNNNNNNNNNNNNNNNNNNNNNNNNNNNNNNNNNNNNNNNNNNNNNNNCGUCGUUGGCCUACUUGGAGAACAAAUAAGCAUUUUAACAUAAGGGCAUCACAAAAAAUCAGAAUACAAAAACUAUGUUAGGUCUGCAGUUUUUUUCAUGCAUCAUCUGAGUUUAGUGUACUUUUUGUGCAGCAGCAACCAGAAGCCAAAAGAACCCAAUACUGAACAAUCUAAAAUAAAAACAUGUCCACAAGCCUAAUAACAUUGAAAGUCUGAGUCCUACUACAACAGUUCAAACAAUCAAUAGUCAGAAGAGGCUAAUUAAGGUACUGGUAUAAGGUACUUAACUGGGUAUACACAAUAUCUAGGAUCAAAGAAUUUAGAUAAGAUGCCAAGGGUUCUUCACUCUAUAAAUGGAACUCACCUGAACACUAAAGCCAUGGUUGUCAUUGCAUAGCUCUAGACUAAAUAAUAAGGGCAAUACCAAAAGAUUUAUGCAUUAGUGCAUGAACUAAGAUAAAAUAAAAUAAGCCUAUAAUGAUGGUGUUACUUUCUUGCGCAAGCACCAAAACUUUGCCAAAAAGUAAAAUAUACUGGGAGCAUUGUACCUUUAUUUUCCCUAUAAUCCUUGCCCUUGCUUCUAGAUUAUAUGAUGGCGGUGCAAGCUAGCCAACAUCUUCAGAUUAGUCCAUCCAAAAAGCACCCCAAAGGUAACAGUUGGAUUGAUUGUGUCAUUCCUGAAACGUCAUUAUCAGAAAUUCAGUUGGUGCUUAAUAGUAAAUAAAAGUGCAGGACAUGCUCAUCACGCUUACCUAGGACUCAUAGGCCUUAUCUAAUCCCUCGCCAAAGCAAAUCAUCUAUUCUAUGUGAAAUAGGUAAGAGGUAGGCAAAAAUGCUAUAUACCAAAGAGUAUACGUCAAUCUAAACUGACGUACUGCUCACAAGAAACAGAGUAUGAUAACACGUCGUUGCUCACUCUAAAAAUAAAAUAAGUUGUUGGAAAGGAGGGGGGCUAUUUUAUUUAUACAGUUUAGUUUUGUGAUUUAGUGCAAAUAAGAACAUGUCCAAACCUGAUAGGCACGGCACCAAAGAGUAUACGUCAAUCUAAACUGACGUACUGCUCACAAGAAACAGAGUAUGAUAACAUGUCGUUGCUCACUCUAAAAAUAAAAUAAGUUGUUGGAAAGGUGGGGAGCUAUUUUAUUUAUAUAGUUUAUUAGUUUUGUGAUUUAGUAGCAGUACAAAUAAGAACAUGUCCAAACCUGAUAGGCACGGCAAUCUCAAAUCCAUGGGGUCAGUUUGGUUAGAUCAGGAUGAGCAGAAAUGAAAUGCACCAUAUACAUUUUCCAUGCAUCAACAUACAUUUUCAGUUUAAUCAAGACAUGUGUUAUUCUCUGAAUAUGAAAAUCACACGGCCAAUUUCUAAUAGUACCCUACUUUUUUCUGUAUGGCUCCUGUGAUUUUUGAGAGUGCAAACCGAUGAGAUUAGCUUAACUAAAUUGUCUCAGAAUCGCAUAGAGACUACAGCAGCAGCAAGAAAGUAUUAUGGUUUUCCCUAAAAAAAUAAAGCAUCAUGGUUAAACUUAUGCAGCUAUCAACGCCUGUUUUAAUGAAACAGAAUAAACUUAAAUUAACUACAGUCUCUCACAAUUCCAUUAAUUAGAGACUACAACAGCGGCAAGAAAGCAUCGUGGUUUAGGUUUUGCAACUACCAAAAUGUGAGCUCAUGCGAACAAAAGAUAGUAAAUUAUUCAGCCUAGCAUCAUGGUUCAGCAUACAAAAUUACCAAAUGGCAUCUUCAGCCAUGUCUUAUAGUUCCAGGAAAAAGAAUUACGAGAAAGUUCACCCAUUAAUGUGACUCAAAUUCAACUUACCACAAGGUUAGAGCAGUUAAUCGUCAUCCGCGUUGGCUUCGUUUGCUCGAUCAUUUUGCUCUACAGCAUUGGCUCUGUAUCUAGUUUCCUCUGUUUUGCUCCAGACUGCCUUUGCUUCUGAAGAUUGCAGAAAGGGCUAAGUGCAAUUGAAUAAAGCUGAAUAUAUUUCUGUAACGAUUUUUUCUAAAUACAAAAGCUACCCACUACAUACAAAGGAACCCCAAAUUCAUGCAAUCCCUCGUACAUAAGGAUAUAGAGAUAGAGUCAAUAAAAAUCAAUUGAUUUAACAACUUCUAUUUAUUUAUACUCCCAUUUUAUAAAUUCCAUUGUUGUUAACAACAUCUAUUUAUGUAUGCUCCCAGAUUCUCACCAACAAUCUAAAGCAUUGAGCCACUGCACCAUUCACUUGCAUUGCCACAUAGAUUAUUUAUUCAUGCAACAUCUAAACUCAAAGAACAUCGGACUGUAAAAGAAUUGAGGAGACAAGUAGACAACAACACAGACCAUCCAAUGCAGUCCUCAGGGGCUCUACCAACUCUGGGAACUCAAUCUCAUCAAGCGCUUUGAAGACGUCUUCGGCGUUGCUUGUCUGCAUCUUUCCUUCCUUGCACACAUCAUCUGACCUGCAAAUAAUUAAGAUCACACUCAUGUUACUAUCAUCAUCCAAAAAGCAGCACACCACAAGUAUAAGCAUAAUAUUAUUUAUACUCUCAGGCGGCUCUCCCCUCUACCAAACAGCAGAGCAAUUAGCUAAAAAUCUCAACUAUGGAAAUCCUAAACCAGCAGUGCUAACUAUAAACCCCCAAACAUUUCAUAUAAGCAUCAUAUUUCAAUACCUCUGUAACCUCUGCGCCGUGAAGAAUGAAAACUGCAGAAGCCUGAAGCUUUUCUUCAGAAAACUGAAAGUGUUAACACGCAUUCACUGAAAGUUUAGCUUCUCCUCAUUCUUCUGAAAAAUCAAAAUUAUUAGUGGCGAAGCUACUCUUCUCCAUUAACCACUCCGUGUUUGCUGCUGCUACAGAUAUGAACAAGUUCUUCCUUAGGGGAAAACAGUAUAUAUAAUAUUGUGCUGACCGUUUGUGAUGAUUCCGGUAUAUAUAGUAGUUAAUGGAUUUUGCCCUCAAGUUUGUUUGUCUCUUUUGCCGCUCUGCUCUAGUUGGGCGCGGCAUGCGCUCGAGUGUUCCCCUGUCCAUGUUUUUGUGGCACCGCUUGUGGUUGGUGCUUCAGCCUCAAUCUUUUUCUUUUGUGUCUAAAACACGAAUGACUUUUAUCGGCUAAAAUGCCACAUUGUGCAAGCCGUACCACUCUUGCUUAUAAUUAAUUUCAGAGGCAUUUGGCAAUGGCGUUUUGAUGCCAGUGAUGUCAGGUGUUCCAGCCACAGCCGACAGAGUACUACAAAGAAAAAACUCAAAUCCAUAACAAGAACUCAUUAUUUUAAAACAAACUCACAGGAGAAACUGGAUGUGGCUAGAGGAGGUGCCUCACCUUGAACUGGUGCUCAGAUCGCCGCCGCCUUGGCCGUGGAGGAAGCCCAGGCCUCUCAUGAUGGAUGAUGCCAUCGCCGAAUCCAGGCGUUGUCCGCCGCCGCCUUGUCCGUGGAGGAGGCCCAGGCCUCUCAUGAUGGAUGAUGCCAUCGCCGAAUCCAGGCGUUGUCCUUGUCCUCGCUUGUCUGUGAUGCGGCCAACUGCGGCCCUCCACUCCUUGGCAACGUGAGCGGCGACGGGAGCUUUGAUCUGGCUGCUUUUUUCCCAUGUUGUCAUCCUCCUCACCUCUUCCCGCUCCUCCACACCCACGCUGAAGACCUCAAAGGCCGCACUCUCCCAUGAAGGCAACCAACGGCCCAUCCAUAACCACCGUGUGUGCCAGCGCCGGAUCGAGAGGAGGAUAAAAGCGAAGGGGAAGCAAGGGGCGUGGUGGUGGCGGAGACUGGAGAGCAGGGAAAGGCGGCGGCGACGACGCGAAAGGGGAGGGGAGGGAAUGUGGGGCUCGAGGACGGGCUGGGAUUGGGGAUUAGGUUUUCACCGUGCAGCCCGGACAUCUCAUAAUUCAGCUACGUAAAACCAGAGCAAGUUCACAUCAUUCUCUGGACCUACACUUAACGAGGCCCAUCAGUCAUCCACCUUUGAAACGAGCACAAAGGUGCAAAAGAAUUGACGGUCCAGCGAUCGGCAGCAGCAAAAAUCAUACGAUAAUAACACGAUCGAACGGCUCACGCGGUGAAAAUCGCUCAGGGGCGCUAGAAUGGCGGGUAACGUAGCUGGGUUUAUAUGUUCAAUGAUCUGCCCUAUCACCUCAAGACUUGUUUGUUGUACCUAAGUGUCUUUCCAGAAGAUAACUGGAUCAACAAAAAUACAUUGAUAUGGCGGUGGGUUGCAGAAGGUUUCGUUAGCAAUAAACAAGGGAUAGGGUCAUUUGAGCAGGGGGAGAGCUAUCUGAAUGAGCUCAUAAAUAGGAGCAUGAUCCUGUGGAUAGAGCCAUGCCAUAGAGUCAAUGUAGGCCGUUGUCGUGUUCAUGAUAUGGUGCUUGAUCUCAUCCGUAGCUUAUCAAGUAAAGUAAAUUUUGUCACAAUACAUGAUGCAGAGCAUCACAGGAAAUGUUUGACAAUUAACAAUGCUCGAAGAUUAGCCCUCCAUAAAAUAAUUAUCGGGAACACCCUUAGCAUGGAAUUGGAACAAAUGAGGUCAUUUAAUGCUAGCAUGUGUCGUGAUAGUAGGAUGCCCUCACUUUUGAGGUUUAAAGUACUGCGUGUACUUGUUUUAGAGGAAUGUGAAUUUUUGGCGGGAGGUUGUCGCCUUGAGCAUGUUGGAAAGUUGGUUCACUUGAGGUACCUAGGACUGUUCGGCACACCUAUUGAUGAGCUCCCAAGAGAAAUAGGAAAGCUUAUGUACUUACAGUCGCUAGAUGUAAGGGAAAGUGGUAUAGAAGAGUUGUCCCCGUCUGUCGGUGAGCUAAACAAGUUGAUGUGCCUGCGUGCUUCUAAGGGCACAAGAAUGUUGGCAGAUGUAGGUAAGCUAACCUCAUUACAAGAGCUGCGACUAUUCUCAGUGGAUAAGGUUCCAAACUUCUUCAAAGAUUUAGGGAAGCUAACAGAGUUGAUGGUGCUUGAGAUCCAUUUUGACAAAAUGGAUGAGAGGGCUCACAGGGCUCUUGUGAAGUCUCUAUGCAACCUCCGCAGAAUCAAAACUCUGGAGAUAUAUUGUGACUCGGUGGAUAUAGAGGAGUGGCCUCAUCAUGGCGGCUGGGAAGAUUGGACGCCAGCACCUUAUGAGAUUCGUGAGUUGACACUGUCUGGCAUGGUUUUACCAAGAAGGCUGCCGUGGAUGGCUCCCUCGUGUGUCCCCCACCUAUCCUACCUGUUGUUCACAGCUCAGGUGGUGGAACAACAGGAUCUGCGGAUCCUCGGGGGUCUGCCAUCGCUUCGCUGCCUGUACAUCUCGAGUGUUGACAACUGCCCUCUGUAUACUGUUCUAGCAAGCGAUGAGUUCCAAAACUUGAGAUAUCUGAGCACCAACAUAGAUAUUAAGUGUGGGGAGGGAGCACUGCCUAUGCUUCAUAAAUUGGUAUGUGGCGCCAGCAUAGGAAUGGAAGAUAUUGGUUUGGUACCGGGCAGCAUGCCUUUGCUGGAGAAAGUCACCUACUGGCUAAAUUGCAAGAAUUGCAACGGUGAUGAGGUGGAGGAAACGGAGGCAAAGCUGAGGCACGCCACCAGGAUCCACCCCAACAGUCCCGCCCUUGCAAUACGAAGGCACAACUACAAGCACACUUCCUCUGGAACAUACAAGGACCAACAACAGGGGCUGCCAAGGUUAAUUAUUCAAUCACUCAAGCGUGUGAUACGUGAUGGUGGAGAGGUUUCGGCCACCGAUGAAGAGGUAUAUAUAUGCACAUAAUCAAACAUGCUUUUAUACGAUCCAUAUCUAUGCAUUGACACUAACAAUUUCAGCCGGAUGAUGGUGGCGCGCGCAAGAUAGCUCGUAUCGUCAAAGAGGAGGCAGCGGCAGCGCCGCCCAUGCUUAAAUCAUGUUGUUCCAUUAACAAGGUAUCCCCCACUCUGUGCGUUCUGUUCUGAUAGAUAUCCAUACGUUCUUGCGACUUCUCCUCUGGAUGAACUAGUAGAUCUGUUUAUAAUCUACCGGUACUGUAUAUAUUUUUUAUCAUUACUUUUAGUUCCUCCUUGAAAAAUAAGAUUUUAAUCCUUGUGGCUUUUUUCCUAUCAAGACUGUUUGGAUUAUAUGGUUGUUUGUUAUCAAGUUCUUAUCGAUUGCUUCUAUGUGCCCUUAUUUAGUAAAAGCUUCAACAUCUACUCCAUAUUCUGUAUUUAGUUCUGGCAACAUGGCAGGCUGCAUCUUGCUUCUUAUCUCUAGACCCUGCUUCCUAAUCCCUUCCUUAGUGGCUCUCCAUUCUCUUCCUCAUGCCCUCACCCACCUACAUUCUCUUUUAUCUGUUGAUAUGCAUUAAAGUCCUCUAAUGGAGGUGCUCUUUCGCUUCUACUCCCCCCGUCCCAUAAUAUAAGAGCCUUUUUUACACUAGUAUAGUGUAAAAAACGCUCUUAUAUUAUGGGACGGAGGAAGUAUCUAGCUGCCUUUCUUUAAGUUUGCCUCCUUGGUACUCUCCAAAUUCCCUCUGUUAAUGCAGGUUCUUCCCCUUUAGCUCUGCAGAUGACUGAUGACUCGAAACCCUUCCCCCUUUUGUGCAAAAGUUUGUUCCAGCUAGAUCAUACUCCCUCCGUUCCAAAAUAUUGGUCUUUCUAGAGAUUUCAACAAGUGACUACAUACGGAGCAAAAUGAGUGAAUCUACACUCUAAAAUAUGUCUAUAUACAACCAUAUGUGGUAGUCCAUUUGAAAUCACUAAAAGACAAAUAUUUAGGAACGGAGGGAGUAGAUGAUAAUGCUGUCAUGUUACGUGGUAGCAGAAAUAAAUACAUCCUUUUUCGUGCUUCAUGGAUUUUUUGUCGUUUUCUUGUUUUGCGGCUCAGUGUAAUUUACACGUUUUCCCCUCUAUGUAAGUUACUGCCAGCUAACGAUACCUGAACAUUUGUUCCAUGCUUCCUUUAUUUAUAUGGCUUAUAGCUAUGUCAUUACAAAUUGCUGAUUAUUUUGGGCUGAUAAUUGUGAGAAUUUUUGAAGAGCAUGCCUUCGUGAAUUGUUGUACUACUAUUUACCGUUUUGCUUACAGUUAAGUUAUUCAGUUUUAUGGACAAUUAGUCUAGUUUUAGGCAGUUUGCUUAAAUAUUGUCUCAGCAUAUCUCUCACUGCCAGUCUAAUCUGCACAUGUAUGGAAAUUGGUUUGACUGAUGCCAUAAUUGCCCUGCAGGUAUGAGAGUUACGUUCCGGCGGCUGAGAUGCAGAAGUGGCUUGGUUCAUGAGAUCCACACGGAAAUUUACCCUCUAUCUAGGAUGCAGUUGUCAGCUGUGAAGUGGACUCGUAGGAAUGAUCACUUAUUUUGCACAAUCAUGUCUUGUUAUCUGUAGUCAGUUGGCCAACUGACAUGACGACGUAAGACUUGCUUGUAUUAAUCAGUACCUUUCACUUGAUUUUGCUUGCUUGCAUUCUGGGCGUGUUCGUAUUUUCACAGUUUUCUUUUGAUUGAUUUUCCAUGUUGCAUCUGGCGAGGAGAAUUCCGCGUAAAAUUUCUGCUUUUUGUCACAUUUUGUGUGUUUGUUUUUAUGUCGUUCUGACUAAUCAAUGUUGAGUUGCUUGCUUUCACUGGGAUUCAGGGAGCCCUUGAGUGAGAUUGCUAAUGUGUUAACCUCUUAUGAAAUGUUUGAGAUCUGAAGAACUUCACACAUUUUAUUGACUGGUUCGGCAAUUACAGCCGUUCAACAUUAUACGAUCCCAUGAUCCACAGGCUAUUCAGCUCCUUAUUUUGCAGGUUGCUUGGCAUUAAACCUGGCCCCACCUCUUGAAGCACUCAACUUUACAAUCCGCAACGCCUUCCGCAUCUGCAAAAUGGCCAACGUGAGCACAAGAUCAUCAGCUAGAACAGACGAUUCUUCUUUUUUUGCAUUGUUAAUAAGAAUGCCUGUGAGAUGUUUCUGAUUUCCUACUCCAUGAACCCCUCGUAUGCCCACUGAUAUUAUGGCCUCUAUUAGUAUCAGAUAUAGCCAAUAACUGAUAUUCUAGCCUCUGUUUGUGAUGUUGGUUUCGUCUAAUAAUGCUGUGAUGAUUCAAAUUUGCCGAUCUCCAUGUUGGAUGAAUGGCAACUACAUUCACUCGAGGGCCAAAGGCCAAUACAUAUACAUGUGUAGGGUAAAGUGCAAGGGACCCCUUAUACAAUGGGGAUAAACCGAAAAGGGCUAUACACAUCUAACACCCCCCUCAAACUCAUGGUGGAUCAACAACACUGAGUUUAGAGAGAAGAAAACUAUGAUGCGCGCGAGUCUGAGCCUUCGUGAAAAAGUCCGCCAACUGUAACUCACAGGGCACAUAGUGAAGAGCAAGUGUCUGAUCUUGCACAGCGGCACGCACAAAGUGGGCAUCCACACCGAUGUGCUUGGUGAGCUCAUGCUUCACCGGGUCACGCGCAAUACUGAUAGCGCCAGUACUGUCUGACAAUAAGGGAGUCGAGGUAGUAGCAGACACACCAAAAUCCUCAAGGAUCCACCGUAACCAGAUCACUUCAGCCGUCAGCAUGGCCAUGGCUCGCAACUCAGACUCUAUACUCGAGCGAGAAACUGCAGUCUGUUUCUUGGUCUUCCAGGCAAUAAGAGAGCCACCAAGAAAGACACAAUAAGCAGAUGGCGAGCGUCGAUCAGAGGGAUCACUAGCCCAGGUAGCAUCUGAGUAGGCCUGGAGCUCAAGAGAGCUGGAGCGGGGAAAGAAAAGGCGCUGAGAGAUCGUGCCACGAAGAUAUCGUAGAACACGGAGGAGAUGACUAUAGUGGACAGAGGUGGGGGCUGAAACGAACUGACUCAGAAUGUGGACGGGAUAGGAGAUGUCAGGACGCGUAACAGCAAGAUAGACAAGACUGCCAACAAGGUGACGAUAGCGAGUGGGAUUAGGAAGAGGGUCACCAUCAGAGGCACGAAGCUGAACAUUGAGCUCCAUGGGAGUCACAACGGUGCGCUCAUCACCGAGAGCAGCACGAGCAAGGAGAUCCUGAAUAUAUUUUUCUUGGGAGAUGUAGAAGCCAUCAGAGGUCGAGGAGAUCUCAAUCCCAAGAAAAUAGCGAAGUGGACCAAGAUCAGUCAUGAGAAACUGGUCGCGAAGGCGAGCCUUAACAAAGGCAAUAUAAUCAGAGUCGUCACCAGUGAUGAUCAUGUCAUCAACAUAGAGAAGGAGAAGAGUCCGGCCAUGAGGAGAUGUGUGAACAAACAACGCGGGAACAUGAUCACUGGGCAAGAAACUAGCGGUGAUCACCACAGAGGCGAAGCGCUCAAACCAGGCGCGAGGGGCCUGUUUGAGACCAUAUAGGGAGCGGCGAAGUCUACAGACCAUACCAUCAGGAGCAUAGUACCCCGGUGGUGGCUUCAUAUAAACCUCCUCACGCAACUCACCAUUGAGAAAAGCGUUCUGAACAUCAAGUUGAGAGAUAGACCACUGGCGGACAGAAGCCACAGCAAGAAGAGUGCGGACAAUGGUCAUGUGGGCCACAGGAGCAAAUGUCUCACCAUAGUCGCGCCCCUGCUCCUGCUGAAAACCAUGGGCCACAAGACGAGCUUUGUAGCGCUUAAGAGAACCAUCGGAGCGAGUCUUAAGCUUGUAGACCCACUUGCAGGUGAUGGGACAGACACCGGAAGGGAGGGGAACCAGAUCCCAUGUGCCAGAACGCUCAAGGGCAGCAAGCUCUUCGGCCAUCGCAAGUUUCCAUUCAGGCUGAGUCAUGGCAGUGCGAUAGGAAGUGGGCUCAGUCAGAACAGAGAGACCGUACCGAUCAGGGGAGUAGCGAUCAGGCGGGGGGCGAGGCCGAGCAUGGAGGUUAUGAACCGGGGAGGCGUGGGAGGAGGUGCACCAGAGGUGGAAGGCUCGUCAGAGGAGACAUCCUCAGUACGAGAUCGACGAGUAUAGUGGAGAGGAAAUGGGGAGAGAGGCCAACGGAUUGGAGAAGAUGGGGGAGAGGUGGAGGAGGAGGAUGGAGGAGAUGGAGAAGACGGGGUCGGUGAUGAAUGAGAAGGAAUGAGAGGUGCCGGAGGAAGAGGUGACACAUGAGGCACAUAACAGGGUGUAUCGGGAAGAAGAAGGAAAGAAAGAUCGUCCACAGAAAAACGCGAGGAAGAAGAACGGGGAUAGUAAGAGCAAGACUCGUCAAAGGUCACAUCACGCGAGAUGCGCAAGCGACGACCCACUGGAUCCCAACAUCGAUAGCCCUUGUGCUCAUUACUGUAGCCAAGGAAAACACACUCAACUGACUGAGCAGUCAGUUUGGUGCGUUCUCGGGGGGCAAGAAGAACAUAGCAGACGCAUCCAAACAUACGAAGAGCUGAGUAGUCAGGAGAGCGACCAGUGAGACACUCCAUAGGAAUGCCACCCUGCAGAGCAGUCGAUGGCUGAAUGUUGAUGAGAUAGGUGGAUGCGGAAACAGUCUCAGCCUAAAAAUGGGGUGGAAGGGAAGCAGCAAUCAUCAACGCACGAGCCGUCUCAAGCAAAUGACGAUGCUUUCGCUCGGCAACGCCAUUCUGAGCAUGAGCACCAGGACAGGAGAACUGGGCAAGAGUACCCUGUUCCGCGAGGAAACCACGCAACAACUGAGAGAUAUACUCUCCAGCGGAGUCAGCAUGAAAAUUACGAAUGGGCGUGGCAAACUGGGUGUGAACCAUAGCAGCAAAAUGUUUGUAUAUAGGGAGAACCUCGCUACGAGAUUUCAUGAAGUAGAGCCAAGUGUAGCGAGAGAAAUCAUCAAUAAACAAAACAUAGUAGUGAUGACCACCUUUCGAAUCAAAGGGAGCGGGACCCCAGACAUCAGAAUGAACUAAGUCAAAAGGACGCUGAGAUACAGACUCACUAGUAGGAUAAGGUAACCGGGUCUGUUUUCCAAGUCUGCAACCAUUACAAUGUAAGGAGACAUCUCCACAUACAGACCCUAAGAGGCCCUGACGAACUAAGGAAGACAAGCGAGAGCCACAGAUGUGACCAAGUCGAUGAUGGCACUGCUGGAAGGACGCAGACGAAGAGGCAGCAAGAGCAUGAGAGCUGGCAGAAGUGGUGGCAGCGGAAGGAACACAAAGCCAGCCAACCUCCCAAAGGCCCUCUGACUCACGGCGCCGGGGGCCAGCACCAACCAAAGCCUUGGUGCGACGAUCCUGAAUGGAGCAAGAGUCGAUAUCAAGAAUGACAUGACAACCAGAAUCAGUAAGUUGGGCAGCGGAAAAAAGAUUCAUGGUAAGGCGAGGAACAUGUGAAACACUUGGAACAGAAAAAGAAGGAGUGGAAAGAAUACCACGACUAGCAACAGGAAGAGAUGUGCCAUCGGCAGUAAGAACAUUAACAGGCGAAUUAAGAGGCCGAAGAGAAGACAAGGCGAAAGAAUCAGAAGACAUAUGAAAGGAGGCUCCAGAAUCCAGAACCCACGAAGAUGUACCUGACUGUGUAGAUGCCUCUGAUGGUGAGGAGGAAGGGGCAGUCACAUCAGCAGCAGAGCCAGUCGACGAGGAGCCUGAGGAAGCCAGAAGACGCUUGAGGCGAACAAUGUCCUGGUCAGUGAGUGAUGGAGUCGAGGAUGACAUAGGAGGCCUGCUGGAGGUGGAGCGCCUCUGGUCUCGCUUCUUCUGGCGACAGUCAGACUCUGGGUGACCCGGCCGGGAGCAAUAACCACAGACGGUGUCAUGGCGCGACGUGCCCUUCUCAGCAUAAGGAGGACGGCUGACCCCCCCCUGGAGGAGUAGGCAGGAGUGGUGGAGCGGUGAGGCGAGCAGAUGACACAGGAGCUCGGACGGCUAGCACUGACGGAACCAGAAGCAACCCAGUAGAGCGAAGACGAGUCUCCUCAGCACGGAGCUCGGCAAGUACCUCCGAGAUAGGAACACGACCACGAGCAAGCAAGUGAGCACGUCGAGGCUCAAACUCAGACCGGAGACGAGAUAAGAACUCAUGAACCCGCUGAAACUCCAGAUCAGACCGAGUAGUCUGACAACAACGACAUGUUCCACAAACAACUGUCCGAAGAGAGUCAAGCUGGCGCCAGAUGGCAGAGCACUGUGAAUAGAACUCAUCAACAGAAGAAUCACCUUGCUGAAGUGCAUGCUCCUGAUGCACCACAGAUAGGUAAAGAGCAUCACCAGAGGGCUGAUAGCGCUGACACAGAUAAGACCACAUCGCUGCAACUGUGCUAAGUCCCAUGAACUCCGAAGCAAACUGAGGGAGAACACUCGCAGUGAGAACAGCAGCCGCUCGAGCAUCAUCAUUGCAACACUGAGUGUAAGCAGACAGAUCAUCCCGGUAGACAGUAAGAGCAUCAGAAUAGGCAGAUACCUGCUGAUCAUAAGUAGCAACUAUAGCAUCAUCAAGAGUCUUGGCUGCAUCACGAUCAGCCUGAGAAGUAUCAGGAGCAAUCACCGGCGGUGCUGGCGGAACAGGCGCCACCGGAGCAACAGGACACGGCGGACAUGGUACCUCGCCAGAAAGAACACCCCACAGCAGAAGGCCGCGCAUAUGAAUACGCAUGAAACCGGCAAACUCAGCAUAGUUGGUGCCAUCAAAGAUCACCGAGCAGCGAGGAACAGCCACAUAGCCCGAAGAUGACAUACUGAGGUAUCCCUUUGUGUUGUUUCUGCCCUUUUUUUGAAGUCAACAUGUACAGGAAAACCCAAUCUGGAUCGAGAGAAACACGAGCGCUCGCUCACGCCCUCGCUCGGGCAAUCGAGGCGAGCAGGGCCAGUGGCUUGAGCUCGAGCAAAGCGGGCGGGUUGGGGACCCCCGCUCGAAGCAGAGCAGUCGGGUGGGGAACCUCCGCUCGAAGCAGAGCAGCAGCCGAGCAGGCCCGAUGGGACAGCACCCAGACGGAGAACUCAAGCGGCGGCCUGCCUCAAGCCAAGCGGAGCAGGGGAGCACCAGCGGCCCGGCGGUAGGAGGCGCGGCAGCAGGGUGGAGCAGACCGGGGCGGACAGAGCCGCGGCGAGGAGGUCCAGGGCGGCCUGAUUCGUCGGGAGGAGAGCCAGGACGGUCAGAGCCGCAGCGAGAAGGUCCGGGGCGGCCGGUUUCUCGGAGAGGAGAGCCGGGACGGCCGGAUCCACGACAAGAAGAGCCGGACCUGGCUGUGGGCGAAUCGGGGGAGGAGCUAGCACGGAGUUGCAGCGUGCGGGAGAGAAGGGAACCUAACAUCUGAUACCAUGUUGGAUGAAUGGCAACUACAUUCACUGGAGGGCCAAAGGCCAAUACAUAUACAUGUGUAGGGUAAAGUGCAAGGGCCCCUUAUACAAUGGGGAUAAACCGAAAAGGGCUAUACACAUCUAACACUCCACAACAGUGAAACUAAUUUUUAUUGCUCGAGUCAUACAAAGUCGCAGAUAUCAAUUUGAUGGCUUUUCCAUGUCCUGCAGGUAUCAGAGUUACGUUUUGGUGGCUGAGAUGCAGAAGUGGCUCGUUUGAUGCGAUGCACACGGAAAUUUACCUUUAUGUAGGAUGCAGUGGUCAGCUGUGAAGUGGACUCGUAGGAAUUAAUCACUUAUUUGCUCAAACCCGUCUUGUUAUCAAACACAGUCAAUUGACCAACUGACAUGGAGACAUAAGAAUUGCUUGUAUUAAUCAGUACCUUUCAGUUGAUCUUUGUUUGCAUGCAUUCUGUGUGUGUGUGUGUGUGUGCAUAUUUUUAUUGUUUUGUUUUGCUUGCUGUUCCAUGUUGUCUCUGACGGAGAGAAUUCCGCAUCAAAUUUAAUUUCUGCUCCUGUCCCAUUUUGCGUGUUUGUUUUGUAUCUGGUUCUGACUGAUCAAUGUUGAGUUGCUUGCUUUCGCUGGAUUCAGGAAGGUUUCUGUGAGAUUGCUAAUGUUUUAACCUGUUAUGAUAUAAACAUGCCACUUUGAGAUUUGCAAAACUUAACACAAGUGAUGCGCCGACGCGCGGAAACACAUGUUGCUUCUCACGCACCUGCUGUUGUUGCUGCUGCCGAGGGCGUCCUCUGAAGCCGCCGCUGCCAUUAGAGGGAGAGGGCUGCCGGUCACCGCGGUCACCACUACGGUCGCGCCCCCUUCGUCCUCGCCCGUGAUAGGAUCUGUCACGGGAUGAGCCACGGCCUCUAUAGACUGCAUUAGCGGAUGUAUGAAACCCGCCUGAAGAAGAGUCGCCCAACAUCUCCAUCCUUUGAUCAAAGGCAGAGAUCUGAGCAAAAAGAUCAUCGGCGGUGAUGCUGUUCUUGACAGCGCCGAUCGCCGCCACCACGGAGUCGUAGUCGCGGUCCAGACCUGCAAGUAUCACUAGUAGAAAAGGGGGCAAUGGUCCAGGCCGGGUAAGCCCAUUAGUCCCGGUUCAAUCCAGAAACGGGACCAAUGGGGGCAUUGGACCUGGUUUGUGAGCCCCGAGGGCCGGCCGGGCCACGUGGGCCAUUGGUCCCGGUUCGACUGGACCUAUUGGUCCCGGUUGGUGGGACGAACCGGGACCAAUGGGCCUCGCUCCUGGCCCACCACCAUUGGUCCCGGUUGGUGGUGUGAACCGGGACCAAAGGCCACCCAAUAGUCCCGGUUCGUGGCACGAACCGGGACCAAUUAGUUGCCUAUAUAUACCCCUCGCUCGCGAGCAGAGCACUCUGAGUGCUCUGUUUUUCGUGGCCGGCGAGGGGAGAGCAUUGUGGUGCUCUAGCUCACCUCCUAUGUGUUGGGGAACGUAGCAGAAAUUCAAAAUUUUCCUAUGUGUCACCAAGAUCUAUCUAUGGAGAAACCAGCAACGAGGGGAAGGAGAGUGCAUCUACAUACCCUUGUAGAUCGCUAAGCGGAAGCGUUCAAGAGAACGGGGUUGAAGGAGUCGCACUCGUCGUGAUCCAAAUCACCGGAGAUCCUAGUGCCGAACGGACAGCACCUCCGCGUUCAACACACGUACAGCCCGGUGACGUCUCCCAUGCCUUGAUCCAGCAAGGAGAGAGGGAGAGGUUGAGGAAGACUUCAUCCAGCAGCAGCACAACAGCGUGGUGGUGAUGGAGGAGCGUGGCAAUCCUGCAGGAUUUCGCCAAGCACCGCGGGAGAGGAGGAGUACUUGGGAGAGGGGGAGGGCUGCGCCAGAACUUGUGGUGCGGCUGCCCUCCCACCCCCCACAUAUAUAUAGGGGCAAAGGAGAGGGGGGCUGGCCCCCUCAGAUCCAAUCCGAGGAGGGGGCGGCGGCCAAGGGGGGGAGGAGUGCCUCCCAAGUCAAGUGGAGGCCCUCCCCCUUAGGGUUUUCCCCUUCCCAUGCGCAUGGGCCUUGGGGGGGCUGGUUCCCCUGGCCCAUUAAGGCUAGGGCGCCCCCUUACAGCCCAUGCUUCUGUAUUGGACGUGGUGGAACAAUUUCCGGACCUCCGGACCCCUCCGGAAUCCUCCGGAACCUUCUGGAAGCUUCCCGGUACAAUACCGGAAAAACCCGAACUUUUCCCGGAACCCGAACAACAACUUUCCAUAUAUAAAUCUUUACCUCCGGACCAUUCCGGAACUCCUGGUGACGUCCGGGAUCUCAUCCGGGACUCCGAACAACAUUCGGUAAUAACAUACAAACUUCCUUUAUAACCCUAGCGUCAUCGAACCUUAAGUGUGUAGACCCUACGGGUUCGGGAGACAUGUAGACAUGACCGAGACGUUCUCCGGUCAAUAACCAACAGCAGGAUCUGGAUACCCAUGUUGGCUCCCACAUGUUCCACGAUGAUCUCGUCGGAUGAACCACGAUGUCAAGGACUCAAUCGAUCCCGUAUACAAUUCCCUUUGUCUAACGGUAUUGUACUUGCCCGAGAUUCGAUCGUCGGUAUGCCGAUACCUAGUUCAAUCUCGUUACCGGCAAGUCUCUUUACUCGUUCCGUAAUACAUCAUCCCAUGAUCAACCCUUUGAUCACAUUGUGCACAUUAUGAUGAUGUCCUACCGAGUGGGCCCAGAGAUACCUCUCCGUUUACAUGGAGUGACAAAUCCCAAUCUCGAUUCGUGCCAACCCAACAGACACUUUUGGAGAUACCUGUAGUGCACCUUUAUAGCCACCCAGUUACGUUGUGACGUUUGGUACACCCAAAGCGUUCCUAUAGUAUCCGGGAGUUGCACAAUCUCGUGGUCUAAGGAAAUGAUACUUGACAUUAGAAAAGCUUUAGCAUACGAACUACGAUCUUUGUGCUAGGCUUAGGAUUGGGUCUUGUCCAUCACAUCAUUCUUCCAAUGAUGUGAUCCCGUUAUCAAUGACAUCCAAUGUCCAUGGUUAGGAAACCGUAACCAUCUAUUGAUCAACGAGCUAGUCAACUAGAGGCUUACUAGGGACAUGGUGUUGUCUAUGUAUCCACACAUGUAUCUGAGUUUCCUAUCAAUACAAUUAUAGCAUGGAUAAUAAACGAUUAUCAUGAACAAGGAAAUAUAAUAAUAACUAAUUUAUUAUUGCCUCUAGGGCAUAUUUCCAACAGUCUCCCACUUGCACUAGAGUCAAUAAUCUAGUUCACAUCGCCAUGUGAUUAACACUCACAGGUCACAUCGCCAUGUGACCAACAUCCAAAGAGUUUACUAGUGUCAUUAAACUAGUUCACAUCAUCAUGUGAUUAAGACUCAAUGAGUUCUGGGGUUUGAUCAUGUUUUGCUUGUGAGAGAGGUUUUAGUCAAUGGGUCUGCAACAAUCAGAUCUGUAUGUACUUCGCAAUUCUCUAUGUCAUAUUGUAAAUGCUGCUUCCACGCUCCACUUGAAGCUAUUCCAAAUGGUUGCUCCACUAUACGUAUCCGGUUUGCUACUCAGAGUCAUUCAGAUAGGUGUUAAAGCUUGCAUCGUCGUAACCCUUUACGCCGAACUCUUUAUCACCUCCAUAAUCGAGAAAUAAAUCCUUAUUACUCCAAGGACAAUUUUGACCGCUAUCUGGUGAUCCACUCCUUGAUCACCUUUGUACCCUCUUGCCAGACAUGUGGCAAGGCACAUAUCAUGUGCGGUAUAUAGCAUAGCAUACUGUAGAGCCUACGUCUAAAGCAUAGGGGACGACCUUCAUCCUUUCUCUCUUUUUUCUGCCGUGGUCGAGCUUUAAGUCUUAACUUCAUACCUUACAACUCAGCCAAGAACUCCUUUGACUGAUCCAUCUUGAACACUUUCAAGAUCAUGUCAAGGUAUGUGCUCAUUUUGAAAGUACCAUUAAGCAUUUUGAUCCAUCCUCAUAGAUCUUGAUGCUCAAUGUUCAAGUAGCUUAAUCCAGGUUUUCCCUUGAAAAACACUUUUCAAAUAACCCUAUAUGCUUUCCAGAAAUUCUACAUCAUUUCUGAUCAACAAUAUGUCAACAACAUAUACUCAUCAUAAAUUCUAUAGUGCUCCCACUCACUUCUUUGGAAAUACAAGUUUCUCAUAAACUUUGUAUAAACUCAAAAUCUUUGAUCAUCUCAUCAAAGCGUUCAUUCCAACUCCGAGAUGCUUACUCCAGUCCUUAGAAGGAUCGCUGGAGCUAGCAUACCUUUUAGCACCCUUAGGAUUGACAAAACCUUUCUGAUUGUAUCGCAUACAACCUUUCCUUACGAAAACUGGUAAGGAAACUAGUUUUGACAUCCAUCUGCCAGAUUUCAUAAAUGCAGCUAAUGCUAACAUGAUUCCGACGGACUUUAAGCAUCGCUACGGAUGAGAAAAUCUCAUCGUAGUCAACUCCUUGAACUUGUGAAAAACUCUUCGCCACAAGUCGAGCUUCAUAGAUGGUGACAUUACCGUCCACGUCCGUCUUCUUCUUAAAGAUCCAUUUAUCUCAAUGGCUUGCCGAUCAUCGGGCAAGUCCACCAAAGUUCAUGCUUUGUUCUGAUACAUGGAUCCUAUCUCGGAUUUCAUGGCUUCUAACCAUUUGUCGGAAUAUGGGCCCACCAUCGCUUCUCCAUAGCUCGUAGGUUCAUUGUUGUCUAGCAACAUGACCUUCAAGACAGGAUUACUGUACCACUCUGAAGUAGUAUGCAUCCUAGUCACCCUACGAGGUACGGUAGUGACUUGAUCCAAAACUUCAUGAUCACUAUCAUAAGCUUCUACUUCAAUUGGUGUAGGCGCCACAGGAACAACUUCCUGUGCCCUGCUACACACUUGUUGAAGUGACGGUUUAAUAACCUCAUCAAGUCUCCACCAUCCUCCCACUCAACUCUUUCGAGAGAAACUUUUCCUCGAGAAAGGACCCGUUUCUAGAAACAAUCCCUAUUGCUUUUAGAUCUCAAUUAGGAGGUAUACCCAACUGUUUUGGGUGUCCUAUGAAGAUGCAUUUUAUCCGCUUUGGGUUCGAGCUUAUCAACCUGAAACUUUUUCACAUAAGCAUUGCAGCCCCAAACUUUUAAGAAAUGACAACUUAGGUUUCUCCAAACCAUAGUUCAAACGGUGUCAUCUCAAUGGAAUUACAUGGUGCCCUAUUUGAAAGUGAAUGCGGUUGUCUCUAAUGCCUAACCCAUGAACGAUAGUGGUAAUUCGAUAAGAGACAUCAUGGUACGCACCAUAUCCAAUAGGGUGCAACUAUGAUGUUCGGACACACCAUCACACUAUGGUGUUCCAGGCGGUAUUAAUUGUGAAACAAUUUCCACAAUGUCUUAAUUGCGUGCCAAAGCUCGUAACUCAGAUACUCAUCUCUAUGAUCAUAUCAUAGACAUUUUAUCCUCUUAUCACGAUGAUCUUCAACUUCACUCUGAAAUUACUUGAACCAUUCAAUAAUUCAGACUUGUGUUUCAUCAAGUAAAUAUACUUAGUAUCUACUCAAAUCAUCCGUGAAGUAAGAACAUAACGAUAUCCACUGUGUGCCUUAGCACUCAUUGGACUGCACACAUCAAAAAUGUGUUACUUCCAACAAGUUGCUAUCUAGUUCCAUCUUACUGAAAACGAGGCUUUUCAGUCAUCUUGCCCAUGUGGUAAGAUUUGCAUAUCUCAAGUGAUUCAAAAUCAAGUGAGUCCAAACGAUCCAUCUGCAUGGAGUUUCUUCAUGCGUAUACACCAAUAGACAUGGUUCGCAUGUCUCAAACUUUUCAAAAACGAGUGAGUCCAAAGAUCCAUCAACAUGGAGCUUCUUCAUGCGUUUUUAUACCAAUAUGACUUACAUGGCAGUGCCACAAGUAAGUGGUACUAUCAUUACUAUCUUAUAUCUUUUGGCAUGAAAAUGUGUAUCACUACGAUCGAGAUUCAAUAAACCAUUCCUUUAGGUGCAAGACCAUUAAAGGUAUUGUUCAAAUAAAUAGAGUAACCAUUAUUCUCCUUAAAUGAAUAACCGUAUUGCGAUAGACAUAAUCCAAUCAUGUCUAUGCUCAACGCAAACACCAAAUGACAAUUAUUCAGGUUUAAUACUAAUCUUGAUGGUAGAGGGAGCGUGCGAUGUUUGAUCACAUCAAACUUGGAAAUACUUCCAACACACAUCGUCAGCUCACCUUUAGCUAGUCUCUGUUCGUAGCUUUUAUUUCGAGUUACUAACACUUAGCAACCGAACUGGUAUCUAAUACCCUGGUGCUACUAGGAGUACUAGUAAAGUACACAUUAACAUAAUGUAUAUCCAAUAUACUUCUAUCGACCUUGCCAGCCUUCUUAUCUACCAAGUAUCUAGGGUAAUUCUGCUUCAGUGGUUGUUCCCCUUAUUACAGAAGCACUUAGUCUCGGGUUUGGGUUCAACCUUGGGUUUCUUCACUAGAGCAGCAGCUGAUUUGCCAUUUCAUGAAGUAUCCCUUGCCCUUGCCCCUUUUGAAACUAGUGGUUUCACCAACCAUCAACAAUUGAUGCUCCUUCUUGAUUUCUACUUUCGCGGUGUCAAACAUCGUGAAUACUUCAAGGAUCAUCAUAUCUAUCCCUGAUAUGUUAUAGUUCAUCACGAAGCUCUAGCAGCUUGGUGGCAAUGACUUUUGAGAAACAUCACUAUCUCUGGAAGAUCAACUCCCACUCGAUUCAAGUGAUUGUCGCACUCAGACAAUCUGAGCACAAGCUCAACGAUUGAGCUUUUCUCCCUUAGUUUGCAGGCUAGAAAAAUCGUCGGAGGUCUCAUACCUCUUGAUGUGGGCACGAGCCUGAAAUCCCAAUUUCAGCCCUCGAAACAUCUCAUAUGUUCCGCGACGUUUCGAAAACGUCUUUGGUGCCUCAACUCUAAAUCGUUUAACUGAACUAUCACGUAGUUAUCAAAACGUGUAUGUCCGAUGUUCGCAACAUCCACAGACGACGUUUGGGGUUCAGCACACUGAGCGGUGCAUUAAGGACAUAAGCUUUCUAUUGUUCGCAUAAUCGCUACUGUCAACUUUCAACUAUAUUUUCUCUAGGAACAUAUCUAAACAGUGGAACUAAAGCGCUAGCUUACGACAUAAUUUGCAAAGAUCUUUUGACUAUGUUCAGGAUAAUUAAGUUCAUCUUAUGAACUCCCACUCAGAUAGACAUCCCUCUAGUUAUCUAAGUGAUUACAUGAUCCGAGUCAACUAGGCCGUGUCCGAUCAUCACGUGAGACGGACUAGUCAUCAUCGGUGAACAUCUUCAUGUUGAUCAUAUCUACUAUACGACUCAUGCUCGACCUUUUGGUCUCUUGUGUUCCGAGGCAAUGUGUGUACAUGCUAGGCUCGUCAAGUCAACCUAAGUGUUCCGCGUGUGUAAAUCUGUCUUACACCCGUUGUAUGUGAACGUAAGAAUCUAUCACACCCGAUCAUCACGUGGUGCUUCGAAACGACGAACUUUCGCAACGGUGCACAGUUAGGGGGGACACUUUCCUGAAAUUUUAAUGAGGGAUCAUCUUAUCUACUACCGUCGUUCUAAGCAAAUAAGAUGCAUAAACAUGAUAAACAUCACAUGCAAUCAAAUGGUGACAUGAUAUGGCCAAUAUCAUUUUGCUCCUUUUGAUCUCCAUCUUCGGAGCUCCAUGAUCAUCAUCAUCACCGGCAUGACACCAUGAUCUCCAUCAUCAUGAUCUCCAUCAUCGUGUCUCCAUGAAGUUGUCUCGCCAACUUAUUACUUCUACUACUAUGGCUACCGGUUAGCAAUAAAGUAAAGUAAUUACAUGACGUUGUUCAAUGACACGCAGGUCAUUCAAUAAAUAAAGACAACUCCUAUGGCUCCUGUCGGUUGUCAUACUCAUUGACAUGCAAGUAGUGAUUCCUAUUACAAGAACAUGAUCAAUCUCAUACAUCACAUAUCAUUCAUCACAUUCUUCUUGGCCAUAUCACAUCACAAAGCGUACCCUGCAAAAACAAGUUAGACGUCCUCUAAUUAUUGUUUGCAUGUUUUACGUGGCUGCUAUGGGUUUCUAGCAAGAACGUUUCUUACCUACGCAAAAGCCACAACGUGAUAUGCCAAUUGCUAUUUACCCUUCAUAAGGACCCUUUACAUCGAAUCCGAUCCGACUAAAGUGGGAGAGACUGGCACCCGCUAGCCACCUUAUGCAACAAGUGCAUGUCAGUCGGUGGAACUUGUCUCACGUAAGAGUACGUGUAAGGUCGGUUCGGGCCGCUUCAUCCCACGAUGCCGCCGAAUCAAGAUUGGACUAGUAACAGUAAGCAUAUUGAACAAAAUCAAAGCCCACAACUACUUUUUGUUCUACUCGUGCAAAGAAUCUACGCAAUAGACCUAGCUCAUGAUGCCACUGUUGGGGAACGUAGCAGAAAUCCAAAAUUUUCCUACGUGUCACCAAGAUCUAUCUAUGGAGAAACCAGCAACGAGGGGAAGGAGAGUGCAUCUACAUACCCUUGUAGAUCGCUAAGCGGAAGCAUUCAAGAGAACGGGGUUGAAGGAGUCGUACUCGUCGUGAUCCAAAUCACCGGAGAUCCUAGUGCCGAACGGAUGGCACCUCCGCGUUCAACACACGUACAGCCCGGUGACGUCUCCCAUGCCUUGAUCCAGCAAGGAGAGAGGGAGAGGUUGAGGAAGACUCCAUCCAACAGCAGCACAACAGCGUGGUGGUGAUGGAGGAGCGUGGCAAUCCUGCAGGGCUUCACCAAGCACCGCGGGAGAGGAGGAGUACUUGGGAGAGGGGGAGGGCUGCGCCAGAACUUGUGGUGCGGCUGCCCUCCCACCCCCCACAUAUAUAUAGGGGCAAAAGAAAGGGGGGCCGGCCCCCUCAGAUCCAAUCUGAGGAGGGGGCGGCGGCCAAGGGGGGGAGGAGUGCCUCCCAAGUCAAGUGGAGGCCCUCCCCCUUAGGGUUUUCCCCUUCCCAUGCACAUGGGCCUUGGGGGGGCUGGUUCCCCUGGCCCAUUAAGGCUAGGGAGCCCCCUUACAGCCCAUGCUGCUGUAUUGUACGUGGUGGAACAAUUUCUGGACCUCCGGACCCCUCCGGAAUCCUCCGGAACCUUCUGGAAGCUUCCCGGUACAAUACCGGAAAAACCCGAACUUUUCCCGGAACCCGAACAACAACUUUCCAUAUAUAAAUCUUUACCUCCGGACCAUUCCGGAACUCCUCGUGACGUCCGGGAUCUCAUCCGGGACUCCGAACAACAUUCGGUAACCACAUACAAACUUCCUUUAUAACCCUAGCGUCAUCGAACCUUAAGUGUGUAGACCCUACGGGUUCGGGAGACAUGUAGACAUGACCGAGACGUUCUUCGGUCAAUAACCAACAGCGGGAUCUGGAUACCCAUGUUGGCUCCCACAUGUUCCAUGAUGAUCUCAUCGGAUGAACCACGAUGUCAAGGACUCAAUUGAUCCCGUAUACAAUUCCCUUUGUCUAACGGUAUUGUACUUGCCCGAGAUUCGAUCGUCAGUAUGUCGAUACCUAGUUCAAUCUCGUUACCGGCAAGUCUCUUUACUCGUUCCGCAACACAUCAUCCCGUGAUCAACCCUUUGAUCACAUUGUGCACAUUAUGAUGAUGUCCUACCGAGUGGGCCUAGAGAUACCUCUCCGUUUACAUGGAGUGACAAAUCCCAGUCUCGAUUCGUGCCAACCCAACAGACAUUUCCGGAGAUACCUGUAGUGCACCUUUAUAGCCACCCAGUUACGUUGUGACAUUUGGUACACCCAAAGGAUUCCUACUGUAUCCGGGAGUUGCACAAUCUCGUGGUCUAAGGAAAUGAUACUUGACAUUAGAAAAGCUUUAGCAUACAAACUACGAUCUUUGUGCUAGGCUUAGGAUUGGGUCUUGUCCAUCACAUCAUUCUCCCAAUGAUGUAAUCCCGUUAUCAAUGACAUCCAAUGUCCAUGGUUAGGAAACCGUAACCAUCUAUUGAUCAACGAGCUAGUCAACUAGAGGCUUACUAGGGACAUGGUGCUGUCUAUGUAUCCACACAUGUAUCUGAGUUUCCUAUCAAUACAAUUAUAGCAUGAAUAAUAAACGAUUAUCAUGAACAAGGAAAUAUAAUAAUAACUAAUUUAUUAUUGCCUCUAGGGCAUAUUUCCAACACUAUGCACACGAGGUGUUUGAUGGAAUGCCUGAGCCACACUACUUAAGCUUUCUCCUCUCCAAGCUCGACCUCCAAGCUCCAUUUUCCUCAAUAUUUGUCUAGGUUUAGCGGUCCGUCACGUCCCGUCCCCGUCUUCACCGCCGUCGAUCGCCCGCGCCGAUCUCGUCGCCGGCACCACCGUGGUGAGCCUCUUGUUCUUAUCUUCUUUCUGAAAGGAAAAAAAUUCUUACUUGUAUGUUUAUAUAGAUACUUGUAUAAUUUUCUUACUUUUAUUAUUGCAUCUUAUAUAGUGCGAUGGUUUUGGUAUCCGCCCCCGUCAGCCCUCGUCCUGUCUAUGAUUCGGAUGUGGUAUAUAUUAUCUUUUCAUAACUAUUGGUUCAUUUAUUGUUUAUGACAAUUAUGCCGACCAAUGUGACAUAGAUUUUAUUUAUCUAGGAGGUUGUUGAACCGGAAAUUCCAACCGACCCUAUUGUCGAGAGGUUAAAUUUAGUUGAAGAAGAAAACAAUUUGUUGAAGGAAAAACUUAGAAAAAUUGAGGAGGAGAAGAUGAUAUUGGAGUUGCAUGUUGCGGAUGUCGUCGAUGAUCAAAAGAUCAAGAUGGAUGCAAUGCGCUUGAAGAUUAGAAAGAUUAGAAAAUAUGCCAUUCAUACCGAGGCUUGGUAUCAUUAUGUCGUUGGAUCAGUUGUUACAUUGGUUGCGAUUAUGAUCGCAUUUGUCUUCGCAUUGAAAUGUUUUACAUAAUUUCAAUUCAUGGUUUAAUUAAUUUAGAUGCUCUGCAGAGCUUUAUGUUGUUAGAUGAGAACUAUGUAUGUACUUUGGUUUUAAUGUGAUGAUGAACUUCUAUUAAUUUGGUCACUUAAUUAUCUAUUCAUGAUGUUCUGUAAUGAUUUUUGAUGCACUUAAUUAUAUAUAAUGCACGCAGAUGAACCGACAAUGGAUGUACGGUUCAAGACACACCUCCAAGUACAUUAAGGGCAUGCAUGAUUUUCUCGAAGUGGCUGAGGCAAACAAGCAGAAUGGUUUUAUGUGUUGUCCAUGCCCUAUAUGUGGGAAUACGAAGUCUUACUCUGACCGGAAAAUCCUCCACACCCACCUGCUUUACAAGGGUUUCAUGCCACACUAUAAUGUUUGGACGAGGCAGGAAGAAAUAGGGGUUAUGAUGGAAGACGGCGAAGAAGAAGAGUACGAUGACAACUAUGUGCCCCCUGAAUAUGGUGAUGCUACUGAACAUCAAGAGGAACCAGACGAUGUGCACGAUGAUGCUGCAACGGGCGAAGCUGCUGAAGAUCAAGAGGAACCAGACGAUGUGCCCGAUGAUGAUGAUCUCCGCCGGGUCAUUGUCGAUGCAAGGACGCAAUGCGAAAGUCAAAAGGAGAAGUUGAAGUUCGAUCGCAUGUUAGAGGACCACAAAAAAGGGUUGUACCCCAAUUGCGAAGAUGGCAACACAAAGCUCGGUACCGUACUGGUAUUGCUGCAGUGGAAGGCAGAGAAUGAUGUGCCUGACAAAGGAUUUGAGAAGCUACUGAAAAUAUUGAAGAAGAAGCUUCCAAAGGAUAACGAAUUGCCCGACAGUACAUACGCAGCAAAGAAGGUCGUAUGCCCUCUAGGAUUGGAGGUGCAGAAGAUACAUGCAUGCCCUAAUGACUGCAUCCUCUACCGCGGUGCGUACAAGGAUCUGAACGCAUGCCCGGUAUGCGGUGCAUUACGGUAUAAGAUCAGACGAGAUGACCCUGGUGAUGUUGACGGCGAGCCCCUCAGGAAGAGGGUUCCUGCGAAGGUGACGUGGUAUGCUCCUAUAAUACCACGGUUGAAACGUCUGUUCAGAAACGGAGAGCAUGCCAAGUUGAUGCGAUGGCACAGUGAGGACCGUAAGAAAGACGAGAAGUUGAGAGCACUCGCUGACGGGUCGCAGUGGAGAAAAAUCGAGAGAAAGUACUGGGAUGAGUUUGCAAGUGAGCCAAGGAACGUAUGGUUUGCUUUAAGCGCGGAUGGCAUUAAUCCUUUCGGGCAGCAGAGCAGCAAUCACAGCACCUGGCCCGUGACUCUAUGUAUGUAUAACCUUCCUCCUUGGAUGUGCAUGAAGCGGAAGUUCAUUAUGAUGCCAGUUCACAUCCAUGGCCCUAAGCAACCCGGCAACGACAUUGAUGUGUACCUAAGGCCAUUAGUUGAAGAACUUUUACAGCUGUGGAAUGGAAACGGUGUAUGUACGUGGGAUGAGCACAAACAGGAGGAAUUUAACCUAAAGGCGUUGCUGUUCGUGACCAUCAACGAUUGGCCCGCUCUUAGUAACCUUUUAGGACAGACAAACAAGGGAUACCACGCAUGCACGCACUGUUUACUUAACACCGAUAGUUUAUACCUGGCAAGCUGCAGGAAGGAUGUGUACCUGGGCCAUCAUUGAUUUCUUCCGACCAACCAUCAAUGUCGAAAGAAAGGCAAGCAUUUCAAAGGCGAGGCAGAUCACCGGAAGAAGCCCGCCAUGCGUACCGGUGAUCACGUACUUGCUAUGGUCAAUGAUUUACACGUAAUCUUUGGAAAGGGUCCCGGCAGACUAGCUGUUCCGAGUGACGCUGGGGGACACGCACCCAUGUGGAAGAAGAAAUCUAUAUGUUGGGACCUACCCUACUGGAAAGACCUAGAGGUCCGCUCUUCGAUCGACGUGAUGCACGUGACGAAGAACCUUUGCGUGAACCUGCUAGGCUUCUUGGGCGUGUAUGGGAAGACAAAAGAUACAACUGAGGCACGGGAGGACCUACAACAUUUGCACGAAAAAGACGGCAUGCCUCCAAAGCAGUAUGAAGGUCCUGCCAGCUAUGCUCUUACCAAAGAAGAGAAGGAAAUCUUCUUUGAAUGCCUGCUUAGUAUGAAGAUCCCGACUGGCUUCUCGUCGAAUAUAAAAGGAAUAAUAAAUAUGUUAGAGAAAAAGUUUCAGAACCUAAAGUCUCAUGACUGCCACGUGAUUAUGACGCAACUGCUUCCGGUUGCAUUGAGGGGGCUUCUACUGGAAAACGUCCGAUUAGCCAUUGUGAAGCUAUCUUCAUUCCUCAAUACAAUCUCUCAGAAGGUGAUCGAUCCAGAAAUCAUACCAAGGCUAAGGAGUGAUGUGGUGCAAUGUCUUGUCAGUUUCGAGCUGGUGUUCCCACCAUCCUUCUUCAAUGUCAUGACGCACGUCCUAGUUCAUCUAGUUGACGAGAUUGUCAUUCUGGGCCUCGUAUUUCUACACAAUAUGUACCCCUUUGAGAGGUUCAUGGGAGUCCUAAAGAAAUAUGUCCGUAACCGCGCUAGUCCAGAAGGAAGCAUCUCCAUGGGCCAUUAAACAGAGGAUGUCAUCGGGUUUUGUGUUGACUUCAUUCCUGGCCUUAAGAAGAUAGGUCUCCCUAAAUCACGGUAUGAGGGGAGACUGACUGGAAAAGGCACGCUUGGAAGGGAAUCAAUAAUAUGCAGGGACGGAUAUUCUUGGUCUCAAGCACACUACACAAUUCUACAGAACUCUACCUUGGUGACCCCGUAUGUCGAUGAACACAAUAACAGACUGCGCUCCAAACACCUGGAGCAGUGCGACGACUGGAUUACAUGUGAACACAUCAGGACUUUCAGCAGUUGGUUGGAAGCACAUAUCAGAGGUGACAACACUAUUUGUGAUGAGCUGUACUUGUUGUCCAGGGGACCAUCUUUGACUGUAUUGAUUUGGAAAGGAUACAAGAUAAACGGGAAUACAUUUUACACGAUUGACCAAGAUCAAAAGAGCACCAACCAAAACAGCGGUGUCCACUUUGAUGCAACAACCGAGAGGGGAAAGGACACACAUUAUGGUUACAUAGUGGACAUAUGGGAACUUGACUACGGACAUGAUUUUAAGGUCCCUUUGUUUAAGUGUAAAUGGCUCAAUCUGUCACGAGGAGGGGUACAGGUAGACCCACAGUACGGAAUGACAACAGUGGAUCUGAAAAAUCUUGGGUACACUGACGAAUCGUUCGUCCUAGCCAAUGAUGUGGCAUAGGUUAUCUAUGUGAAGGACAUGUCUACCAGACCGAGAAAGAGAAAAGAUAAGGAAGCGAAUACAUCAUACGAUGAGCCAAAGCGCCACGUAGUUCUUUCAGGAAAAAGGGACAUCGUGGGAGUGGAGGACAAGACAGACAUGUCUGAAGAUUAUGAAAAGUUUCAUGAAAUUCCUCCCUUCAAAGUCAAGGCUGACCCCAGCAUCCUGAUAAACGAUGAAGAUUAUCCAUGGUUACGGCGCAAUAAGCAAAUGACACAAGCGAAGAAAAAGUGAAGACUUUCUCCCGCAAAUAUUAUGAUGAUACCAUGCCAACUUUGUAACAGACGAGUAUGAUACCAUUAUCCGUUUUGUAUAUGCACAUGCUAUGUGGGUCAAUUUAUGAUACCAUGCCAACUUUCAACUUUUUCAGAGUUCAUUUGAAAUGCUUUAAUGUCUUAUGGUUCGGCCCUCGUAAUAAUUAAAAAUAGCAACAAUAAGUAUUUUGUUGUAAGUAGAAACAAAAUAAAAUAAAUAAAGCAAGAAAGAAAACAAAAAAACAAAAAAAGUGUUUUCAAAUUUGAAAACUAAUGGCACUAACANNNNNNNNNNNNNNNNNNNNNNNNNNNNNNNNNNNNNNNNNNNNNNNNNNNNNNNNNNNNNNNNNNNNNNNNNNNNNNNNNNNNNNNNNNNNNNNNNNNNNNNNNNNNNNNNNNNNNNNNNNNNNNNNNNNNNNNNNNNNNNNNNNNNNNNNNNNNNNNNNNNNNNNNNNNNNNNNNNNNNNNNNNNNNNNNNNNNNNNNNNNNNNNNNNNNNNNNNNNNNNNNNNNNNNNNNNNNNNNNNNNNNNNNNNNNNNNNNNNNNNNNNNNNNNNNNNNNNNNNNNNNNNNNNNNNNNNNNNNNNNNNNNNNNNNNNNNNNNNNNNNNNNNNNNNNNNNNNNNNNNNNNNNNNNNNNNNNNNNNNNNNNNNNNNNNNNNNNNNNNNNNNNNNNNNNNNNNNNNNNNNNNNNNNNNNNNNNNNNNNNNNNNNNNNNNNNNNNNNNNNNNNNNNNNNNNNNNNNNNNNNNNNNNNNNNNNNNNNNNNNNNNNNNNNNNNNNNNNNNNNNNNNNNNNNNNNNNNNNNNNNNNNNNNNNNNNNNNNNNNNNNNNNNNNNNNNNNNNNNNNNNNNCAAGUAGGCCCGAAAGCCUGCGGUGGAGAGGAGCUCGAGAGGGGUGCGGCAGUGGGGCUUAUAAACCACUGCGCGCCCCUCUCAACUAGCGAGGUGGGACUAAACUUUGGCCCCGAGGCGGGCAGCACAGGGGCCUUUGGUCCCGGUUGGUGGCACCAACCGGGACUAAAGGGGGAGGCAUUGGUCCCAGUUGGUGGCACCAACCGGUACUAAAGGCCGCCGGUUCCCGCCCUUUGGGCUGCCGAAAAAGAGGCCUUUGGUCCCAGUUGGUGGCACCAAUCGGGACUAAAGGGUGCAUUAGUCCCGGUUGGUGCCACCAACCGGGACUAAAGGGUUUUCUAUAUAAGCAACACUUAGCAGUUUCUGGCCAAAUCGCCCACUUCUCCCCCGACGCCCCCUGCUCCUCCUCGUCGCCGUCGCCGCCCGACGCCCCUGCUCCACCUUGCCGUCGCCGCCGCCACCGACGCCGUCAGGCUGCUCGCCUGAGCCGUCGCCGCCGCCCCCUGUGAGCAUNNNNNNNNNNNNNNNNNNNNNNNNNNNNNNNNNNNNNNNNNNNNNNNNNNNNNNNNNNNNNNNNNNNNNNNNNNNNNNNNNNNNNNNNNNNNNNNNNNNNNNNNNNNNNNNNNNNNNNNNNNNNNNNNNNNNNNNNNNNNNNNNNNNNNNNNNNNNNNNNNNNNNNNNNNNNNNNNNNNNNNNNNNNGCGCCGCCGCCCCUGCCUUGCGCGGCCGCCGUGCGCCACCCCGCCGCUCCUGCAAUUUCCAUAGCAAUUUUUUGCAUUUUUUUGUGUAUAUGUAUUUGUAUGUGUAUAUAUAUAUGUGUACAUGUUCAUAGUAUUUUUUUCAUAAGUGUAUUUUUUUGUUCAUUGCAUUUUUUUCAUAUAUAUAAUGUAUAUAUGUAUGUGGUAGCUAUAUAUAUGAUGAAUGGAUGUGGCUAUAUAUGUAUGUAUGAAUAUAAUGUUCAUAGCAUUUUUUGUUUAUAUAUGUUUUUUCAUAUAUGUAUUAAUAUUUUAUUUAGGUUGUUAGUAGAUAUCGAUUUUAGGUUAGUGCAUUUUAGGUUAGUGUAGAGGAGAAAGUAAAAUAAGGAAAAGGAAGAAAAGAGGAAGAAGGAAGAAGGAAGAAGAAGAAGAAAAAGAAUGAGAGGAAAAAGGAAAAUAAGAAGAGGAAGAAGAGGAGAGGAAGAAGAGGAGAAAUAAAUAAGAAGAGGAAAAAAGAAGAAAAAGAAGAGGAGAAGAAGAAAGGAAUAGAGGAGAAGAAGAAAAAAUAGAAAUUGUUUUCUAUUUUUUCUUCUUCUCCUCUAUUCCUUUCUUCUUCUCCUCUUUUUUUUUCUUCUUCCUUCUUCCUUCUUCCUCUUUUCUUCCUUUUCCUUAAUUAUUUUCCUUUCUCGUCAUUGUCAUGUCGUUGUCGAUAUAACCCCCUUGAGAUAACUUCGACAUGAGGGGCGGUCGAUAUAUAUACCCCCUCUCGACCGUGAUAACUUAUACAACGGCAGCACCCCCCCUCGGCCCACUCGCUCAACCAAAACUCUCGAGGACACACAAACCCUAGAGAGAAAACGAUGUUGGUCUCCUACCCCCUCCCGCUGCGCCCCUACCCGACAAAUUAACUCUCUCGAGGCCACCCAAAUUUACCAAGUUAAAAGAGCGUUGUCGUCGAGGCCACCCCAAACCCUUGAAGCGUUGUGUCGAGGCGACCCCAAACCCUAGAGAAGCAGCGUCGAGGCCACUAACAUGAUUCCUUAUUGUGACUAGCUAGCUAGUUCUACGUUUGCCACUAAUGUAUAUAUAUAUAUCCAUCUGUACCAUGUUUGAAUAAUAAUUGACAUGUUGUAAAUAUUUGCAGAAACUAUGGAGCACUCCCGAGACGAAGAAACAGAAGCGAUGUUGGGGGACAUAAUCGCAAAUGGAAGUGAUGAAGUUGCAUCAUUUCUCCUCGACAUCGAUGGACAGCUAGAAGAACUGGGUGAAGAAGAGGGCUAUGUUCAUGAUGGCUUCGGCCCAUUAAUGCCGGUACAAGAAGAGGACUAUGUUCAUGAUGGCUCCGGUGACACAAUGGAGGUACAAGAAGGAGACCGUGCUGACUGCUCUGGUGACCGAACCGAGUCAGGCCAGGUAUAUAUAUAUUAGUUAAGCCCGUGCUGACUAGUUAAUUGAUGCUUCCAUUGUUUUGGUAUAUGUACACAUAUUAAUUACUCUCGUCUUUCUUCCUUAUAAUUUCUAGCCCUCCGGAUCGAACACAACUUCGGUAAGGAGACGAGGCCCGAAGAAAAAGUUGAGCUCGGAUGAAAAGUUUGAGAUCAUAGAAAUCACGCCCGACGGCGAACCGAUUGAACCCAUCCGGACAAGGAAGGCAUUUUCUGCUCAGUGCGGGGUUCUUGUUAGGGACAAGAUCCCGAUCAGCAUCCAGCAACGGUAUAAGCCUAAGGAGGAAGACCCUGAGGUGUCUUCUGUCAAUGAUAUGCAGAAAGAAGAUCUUUGGACUGAGCUGAAGGCAAAUUUCACCCUACCGCCAGAGGAGGAUCCAGAGAAGCCAGUUAAAGAGCCAUUAAUCAAGUCUUGUGCUCUUAAGAAGAUGGCAACCCUAAUGAGGAGGUGGAGGAAAGAGCUGAACCAGUUUGUCAAAAAAAAGACACCAGAAUUCAUCGGCAAAUAUGAGAAGAUCAAAGAUCACUGGCCCGCAUUUGUGGCCCACAAGACAUCGGAAAAGAGUAAGAAGAUGUCGGUGACAAACAAGAAAAAUGCUGCAAAGAAGAAGCUUCACCAUCGCACGGGGUUAGGUGGCUACCUCAAAGCGCGGCCUAAGUGGUCCAAGGCUGAGCAUGAUCUGCUCCGGCGCGUCGUACUCCUUCUCCUCCGCCUCGUAAGCAAGCACGAAAGAAGACAGACGCCGCAGCCGCUCCGUCUGCUCCGACGUCUAGCAGCACAACCAGAGGCGGGAGGCAAUACAAAUACGGUCCAUCUCUCAAGCCUCUAGAGAAGUUACCGUAUGAGAGGUCCGAAGAGGAAAAUGAUACGAUUGUGCGGACCCAUGUGAAGGAUUUCUUUGAAGGGGUGAAAGCAAAGAGACAUCCACCUCCGAAGGAGAAGGUAGAUCCGGUGAAAGCAAAGCGCACUAUCGAUGCCCUGAGGAAACCACCAAAGUCUCCGCCGAGAACCAACUAUGAGCGCAUUACUGAACAGACAUAUCUCCAAGCCCAGCGGUAGGGAACUACUGUCAGUGAUAAAAGGUUAAAAGAACGAGCAAAGGGGAAAAAAUUGCCCAGCUCGGCGAACAAGCACAGCAAUCAUGCCCCCCGCUCAAUGUGUCUAAUGCUUCGGGGACGGUGGCCGGUUAUGAAAAUCUUGAAGAUUACCUGCCUGACGAUGCACUUCCUGAUUUCAUGGCGGUGGACGAACACAGAUACGAGUACGGAAAGCCUCUCGUCAAAGAUGAAAAAUCUCUGACAACAAUGAUGCGAAGAUUCCAUAGUUGGUACAUGAAAACCUGCAGAGAGUCUGAGGCGACGAACAGUUUGUAUCUGAACAUUAAAGAGGAGCACGACCUCGUUUCAAAUGAUCUGUUGUGUGUUCCAUUUGAUGAGUUCUUUCUUCAAUCAAAAGGCCCUCGAUAAAUUAAUGGUCUUUUGCUACUGCCUGUAAGUACUAUUUCUGUCAUUAAGUCUCUAUAUAUAGCUCUGCUCUUUCAUUGCAUGUAUUUAUAAUUAAUUAUCCUCAAUAUAUUAUGCAGAUUGAAGAUCGUCGAGUGCAAAAAACAAGAAAUUUAUGAUAUUGGGUUCAUUAACACAAAUAUCAUAGAUGUAUUUCUGGUUGAAAAGAACGUCAAAGAGGCCGAGGACAACUUGCUACGAUCGUUGAUCAAAAAUCAAAACAAAGAUAACAUACUCUUUCCUUACAACGGCAAGUGAGUGUUACUGUCGUGUAAAUAUUCGGUUUCCCUUAUUACUCGAGCGAGGUUAUAGUAAUGUAAUUGAUGAGUUAUGCAUGCGUGCGCAGGUACCACUAUAUUCUUCUGGAGAUUAAGCUUGAGCGGGGACUAGUAACCGUCUUAGACUCGAGAUGUAAAGAUCCCGAAACCUAUGCGGACAUGACUGAAAUGCUCAGCAAGUAAGUUCAAUCGAUCAUUAUCGCACCAUAUCGGCAACUUUUUGUUCAUUUCCUGAUAUCUCAAGUAAUAAUAAUUAUUUUCUUUGUCUUGCAGGGUUUGGAAACAGUUCACCGCAGAAGCUCCGGGACUGCCGAAGGAGCUGCGAUAUACAUACCCGAAAGUAAGUACUACUGGGCUAGCUAGUUGCGCGCAUCUCCCGUUGAUUCUAUAGCUAUACUUUCAUCAAUGCCAUUUAUAAUGCUUCAUUAUUAGUUUGAUUGACCUCUAUUUCUCGUAAAAUGCUUGUGGCAGGAGGAAGGGAAUGAUUUCUGUGAAUACUACGUGUGUGAGUUCAUCCACACUACGACUUUGAAAAACAAACGGGGCUAUUCUAAAAGACAAUAUGAAGUGCAUAAGCAAUAAUAUUCACAAUUUCAUUUUAUUACACCAUCAUUUCUGUUGAGUUUCAUUCAUAUAUGUAUUAAUUAACCCCUUUCUUCAAAUUAGACGUGGCAGAUGCGGAAUGAACUCCUAGAACCAGAUCGCAUGAAAGCAAUUCAAUAGGAAUUAGCGGGAUUCUUUCUUGACCACGUCAUCAGUAAAGCCGGAGAAUACCAUGUGGAAAUUGAUUUCAAAUGCUAGGGGUUUGUAAUUAAGAGAUCUUAUACAUAUUGUACAUGUGUGUAGCCAGUAGCGUCGGAUACAUGAUACGAAAACUUGUUGUUCGACCAAUCUCUCAGAGAAGGAGAGGUCGAUCGAUCACUUCUCUUGGUAUGCAUGACGAACUUCUGUACUGAAUGGUUCUCUCGAUCACUUAUGUAUAUAUAGUAUGUAGCGUCGAUCAAGCAUGGACAUAAGAGAGGACACUUCUCUCUAUUAAUUAGCUAGCUAACACAAUAUAUGAAACACCUAAAUUAACCCCCCAAAACACCCAACCCCCCUCCUUUCAAAAAAAAUAAAAACCCCAGCCACUGGAAUGCUGACGCGUGGAUGCAUUUUGGUCCCGGUUGAAGCCACCAACCGGGACCAAAGGCCCCCUGACUGGGCUCGGCGCACAGGGCCACGUGGAGGCAUAUUGGUCCCGGUUCGUGUUUGAACCGGGACUAAUGGGUGGAGGUAUUAGUAACGACCCAUUAGUCCCGGUACAUGAACCGGGACUAAAGGCCCUUACGAACCGGGACUAUUAGGUGUUUUUCUACUAGUGUAUGUAGUCCACCAUCUCCGGAUCAGAGACGGGACGGCCAGUAGCAGCUAGUUCAUCCCCGAGACUCUUCAUCUUCGCCAUGUAUGCUGAACUGGACAUGGUGCCUUUUUUGGUGUUGGUGAUCGCAAUCCUCAGAUUGGUAAUCCGAGACUGCGAUUGUGAGGCGAAGAGGUUGUUGAUUGUUGUCCAGAGCUUGAAGGUGGAGUCCCUCCCGACGACCUGUGCAAGGAUCUCAGGAGACAUGGAGUUGAGCAGAUAUGACAUAACCUGUUGAUCUUUGGCGAUCCAAGGUCCAUACAAAGGAUUCGGCUCUUGGGCCGUAGUUUUGUCCGCCUUUGGGACCUCCACCAUCUUCGGCGGAGCGGUGUCAGAGUGGUCCAGCAGCCCGGUAACCUGCGCACCUCGCAGGGCUGGGAGAACCUGCGUCUUCCAGAGGAUGAAGUUUCCUCUCGCAAGUUUUUCCGACGGAGGCGAACCAAGGUUCAGGGCAACGCCGACUGAGGAAGCCAUGACGGCGAUCGCGGAUAUGAUCUAGGGUUUUGUUUUCUGGUUUGUGGCUAGAUGUAUGGAAGAGGGGCUCUGAUGACCAUGUAAAGUUAUGAAGCGUUCCUACUCCCAUCGAGGGGAGCCGCAGCUGUAUAUAUUGAUGUGGGCAGGCGAUGCCUUGGUUUACAAGAUAGAGUUACAAGAGUUUGAAAGGGAUACAAGAAAGGAAGAGGUUGAGAUUACAUAAACUCUAACACACAGAUAUUUUAGCCUCUAUUGGGAUCAGAUAUAGCCAAUAACUGAUAUUCUAGCCUCUGUUUGUGAUGUUGGUUUCGUCUAAUAAUGUUGUGAUGAUUCAAAUUUGGCGAUCUCCACAACAGUGAAACUAAUUUUUAUUGCUCGAGUCAUACAAAGUCGCAGAUAUCAAUUUGAUGGCUUUUCCAUGUCCUGCAGGUAUCAGAGUUACGUUUCGGUGGCUGAGAUGAAGAAGUGGCUCGUUUGAUGCGAUGCACACGGAAAUUUACCCCUUAUGUAGAAUGCAGUGGUCAGAUGUGAAGUGGAUUCGUAGGAACUAAUCACUUAUUUUGCUCAAACCCGUCUUGUUAUCGAACGCAGUCAAUUGGCCAACUUACAUGGAGACAUAAGAAUUGCUUGUAUUAAUCAGUACCUUCCAGUUGAUCUUUGCUUGCAUGCAUUCUGUGUGUGUUCAUAUUUUUACUGUUUUGUUUUGCUUG